rnacentral:rRNA from 1 species
CGGCAACAGCUCAAAUUUGAAAUCUGCCCGCAAGGGCCGAGUUGUAAUUUGUAGAGGAUGCUUUUGGUUAGGUACCUUCCGAGUUCCUUGGAACAGGACGCCUUAGAGGGUGAGAGCCCCGUACGGUUGGAUGCCGAGCCUCUGUAAAGCUCCUUCGAC